GGGUGACUGCGUACCUUUUGUAUAAUGGGUCAGCGACUUAUAUUCUGUAGCAAGGUUAACCGUAUAGGGGAGCCGUAGGGAAACCGAGUCUUAACUGGGCGAAUGAGUUGCAGGGUAUAGACCCGAAACCCGGUGAUCUAGCCAUGGGCAGGUUGAAGGUUGGGUAACACUAACUGGAGGACCGAACCGACUAAUGUUGAAAAAUUAGCGGAUGACUUGUGGCUGGGGGUGAAAGGCCAAUCAAACCGGGAGAUAGCUGGUUCUCCCCGAAAGCUAUUUAGGUAGCGCCUCGUGAACUCAUCUUCGGGGGUAGAGCACUGUUUCGACUAGGGGGUCAUCCCGACUUACCAACUCGAUGCAAACUACGAAUACCGAAGAAUGUUAUCACGGGAGACACACGGCGGGUGCUAACGUUCGUCGUGAAGAGGGAAACAACCCAGACCGCCAGCUAAGGUCCCAAAGUCAUAGUUAAGUGGGAAACGAAGUGGGAAGGCUCAGACAGCCAGGAUGUUGGCUUAGAAGCAGCCAUCAUUUAAAGAAAGCGUAAUAGCUCACUGGUCGAGUCGGCCUGCGCGGAAGAUGUAACGGGGCUAAACUAUGCACCGAAGCUGCGGCAGCGAUAUGUAAAUAUUGUUGGGUAGGGGAGCGUUCUGUAAGCCUGUGAAGGUGUACUGUGAGGUAUGCUGGAGGUAUCAGAAGUGCGAAUGCUGACAUAAGUAACGAUAAUGCGGGUGAAAAACCCGCACGCCGGAAGACCAAGGGUUCCUGUCCAACGUUAAUCGGGGCAGGGUGAGUCGACCCCUAAGGCGAGGCAGAAAUGCGUAGUCGAUGGGAAACGGGUUAAUAUUCCCGUACUGGUGAUAAUUGCGAUGGGGGGACGGAGAAGGCUAGGCUGGCCGGGCGACGGUUGUCCCGGUUUAAGGAUGUAGGCAGGUGAAUUAGGCAAAUCCGGUUCACUACAUGCUGAGGUCUGAUGACGAGUCACUACGGUGGCGAAGUAGCUCAUGCCCCGCUUCCAGGAAAAGCCUCUAAGCUCUAGAUUAUCACUAAUCGUACCCCAAACCGACACAGGUGGUCAGGUAGAGAAUACUCAGGCGCUUGAGAGAACUCGGGUGAAGGAACUAGGCAAAAUGGUGCCGUAACUUCGGGAGAAGGCACGCUGGCGCUAGGUGAAGUGGUUUACCCAUGGAGCUGAAGCCAGUCGCAGAUACCAGCUGGCUGCAACUGUUUAUUAAAAACACAGCACUGUGCAAACACGAAAGUGGACGUAUACGGUGUGACGCCUGCCCGGUGCUGGAAGGUUAAUUGAUGGGGUUAUCCGUAAGGAGAAGCUCUUGAUCGAAGCCCCAGUAAACGGCGGCCGUAACUAUAACGGUCCUAAGGUAGCGAAAUUCCUUGUCGGGUAAGUUCCGACCUGCACGAAUGGCGUAAUGAUGGCCAGGCUGUCUCCACCCGAGACUCAGUGAAAUUGAACUCGCUGUGAAGAUGCAGUGUACCCGCGGCAAGACGGAAAGACCCCGUGAACCUUUACUAUAGCUUGACACUGAACAUUGAGCCUUGAUGUGUAGGAUAGGUGGGAGGCUUUGAAGUGUGGACGCCAGUCUGCAUGGAGCCAACCUUGAAAUACCACCCUUUAAUGUUUGAUGUUCUAACGUUGCCCCGUUAUCCGGGGUGCGGACAGUGUCUGGUGGGUAGUUUGACUGGGGCGGUCUCCUCCCAAAGAGUAACGGAGGAGCACGAAGGUUGGCUAAGCAUGGUCGGACAUCAUGCGGUUAGUGCAAAGGCAUAAGCCAGCUUGACUGCGAGAGUGACGGCUCGAGCAGGUACGAAAGUAGGUCUUAGUGAUCCGGUGGUUCUGAAUGGAAGGGCCAUCGCUCAACGGAUAAAAGGUA
rnacentral:rRNA from 1 species